rnacentral:rRNA from 1 species
UUUUACAAUGGAGAGUUUGAUCCUGGCUCAGGAUGAACGCUAGCUACAGGCUUAACACAUGCAAGUCGAGGGGAAACGGCAUUAAGUGCUUGCACUUUUUGGACGUCGACCGGCGCACGGGUGAGUAACGCGUAUCCAACCUUCCCAUGACUAAGGGAUAACCUGCCGAAAGGCAGACUAAUACCUUAUGGUCUUCACUGACGGCAUCAGAUGUGAAGUAAAGAUUUAUCGGUUAUGGAUGGGGAUGCGUCUGAUUAGCUUGUUGGCGGGGUAACGGCCCACCAAGGCAACGAUCAGUAGGGGUUCUGAGAGGAAGGUCCCCCACAUUGGAACUGAGACACGGUCCAAACUCCUACGGGAGGCAGCAGUGAGGAAUAUUGCACAAUGGGGGGAACCCUGAUGCAGCGACGCCGCGUGAGCGAAGAAGGUUUUCGAAUCGUAAAGCUCUGUCCUAUGAGAAGAUAAUGACGGUAUCAUAGGAGGAAGCCCCGGCUAAAUACGUGCCAGCAGCCGCGGUAAUACGUAUGGGGCGAGCGUUGUCCGGAAU